UGACAUGAGGGUGAUGCAACCCUUGUCAUCUCAUUGAUUACUAGCAUUGAUUCAGCUGAUCUGGUUGGCUAGGUUGGUGUUCCUUCAUUGUGCACAAUUCCGUAUUCUUCUCUCUCAAAGCUAUGUGCUCGUGCAGCCCCCACAGAGGAAGACUGUUCUUCAAUCAGAGUGUAUGAGUAGCUAUGUUCAUCUUUUAAAACCUCCAAACAAGAUCUCAAUAGAUUAUAUAUAUAUAUAUAUAUAUAUAUAUAUAUAUAUAUGCAGGAUAAAUAUUCUGCUU
rnacentral:snRNA from 1 species